CUACGGGAGCCGGACUUCGCACCUAACUUUAAUUGCAGGAGGACUCUGCCCGGACUCCUACAGGAGCCGGACUCCGUCAUCAGCUCCGACCGCUGCCGAACUUCAGCCGACGGAUCUGCACUCCCAGGCGCGACACAGCAACCACCACGAUCCCGCUCCACUUUCUGCGGUGGAUUCCGCGCAGCUCCAUCACUCCCUGACAGGCCGCAGUAACGGUCACAGCACUGCUCCACUUCCUACGAUGGAUCCCGCGCAGCUCCACUACUCCCUGGCAAGCCACGAUAACGGCC
rnacentral:lncRNA from 1 species